UACGUAGGGGGCAAGCGUUAUCCGGAUUUACUGGGUGUAAAGGGAGCGUAGGCGGUGCAGAAAGUCAGAAGUGAAAGCCCGGGGCUCAACUCCGGGACUGCUUUUGAAACUGUUGAACUAGAUUGCAGGAGAGGUAAGUGGAAUUCCUAGUGUAGCGGUGAAAUGCGUAGAUAUUAGGAGGAACACCAGUGGCGAAGGCGGCUUACUGGACUGUAAAUGACGCUGAGGCUCGAAAGCGUGGGGAGCAAAUAGG
rnacentral:rRNA from 1 species